CUUGACACUGAACAUUGAGCCUUGAUGUGUAGGAUAGGUGGGAGGCUUUGAAGCGUGGACGCCAGUCUGCGUGGAGCCAACCUUGAAAUACCACCCUUUAAUGUUUGAUGUUCUAACGUUGGCCCCUGACCGGGGUUGCGGACAGUGUCUGGUGGGUAGUUUGACUGGGGCGGUCUCCUCCCAAAGCGUAACGGGGAAGCCAGUCU
rnacentral:rRNA from 1 species